AACGAACGCUGGUGGUAUGCUUAACACAUGCAAGUCGAACGAGCACGACCUAGCUUGCUAGGUACGGCUAGUGGCAGACGGGUGAGUAAUACAUAGGAAUCUACCCAGUAGUAAGGAAUAACUUAUGGAAACAUAGGCUAAUACUGUAUACUACCGAUUUAUCGGGAAAGGCUUCGGCCGCUAUUGGAUGAGCUUAUGCCAGAUUAGCUAGUUGGUAGGGUAAAGGCCUACCAAGGCUGUGAUCUGUAGCUGGUUUGAGAGAAUGAUCAGCCACACUGGGACUGCGACACGGCCCAGACUCCUACGGGAGGCAGCAGUGAGGAAUUUUGGACAAUGGGCGAAAGCCUGAUCCAGCAAUACCACGUGAGUGAUGAAGGCCUUCGGGUUGUAAAGCUCUUUUAGUAGGGAAGAUAGUGACGGUACCUACAGAAAAAGCACCGGCUAAUUCCGUGCCAGCAGCCGCAGUAA
rnacentral:rRNA from 1 species